rnacentral:lncRNA from 1 species
GUGCUUUGUUAAACAAGUGCUUGAAGGCAGUAUGCUUGGUAAAAGUCAUCGCCAUUCUCUAAUCUUGAGUACCCAGGGACACGAUACACUGCGGAAGGCUGCAGGGACCUCUGCCCAGGAAAGCCAGGUGGUUUCCAAAAGGAAAAGCUUUGGGAGAUAGAAGUCCUCGUUUUGACCUCUGCCCUCCUUGUACACCAGGAGCCAGAAAAACUUCAUCUCUUUUACAAGAAACAUUGAGAUUCCUGUAAAAUUAAGAAAUCACACAAUUUGAUGGUCUACAUUAUCUAAAGCAAAUGAGACUUCUAUUUGGAACAAAGACUACCUUGUUGGGAAAUGAGUCUGCAAGUUAAAGUGUUUUCUGGGAUCACUCUAAGCUCCAGUGUCAAGGAGUCAAGUCCUUCAGGAAUUCUCUGCCUCCACUCCCUGUGGCAGAGCUAGAGUGGCUGCCAUGCUUCUGAGCUCAGCCAGCAUCCAGAGAGAGAGUGAGAUACAGCCUCCUCUUCUUGAAGCACCCACUUCUAAACUCUGUGACAGUUUUCUUGGAACUCUGUUAUGUGGAUCUGGAGAUGACAAUGUCACAGCACUCCCCUCUAAGCCUAAAUUCCCCCACACCGAUGAACUAUUAGGGAUAAAAAUUUACCUGGAUGCAAGGCUAUUCAGAAUGAAGAUUAAUGAUAUGGUUUGGCUGUGUCCCCACCCAAACUUCAUCUUGAAUUCCCACGUGUUGUGAGAGGGACCUGGUGGGAGAUAAUUGAACCAUGGGGGCAGGUCUUUCUCAUGCUGUUCUCAUGAGAGUGAAUAAGUCUCAUGAAACCUGAUGGUUUUAUAAGGGGGAAUUUCCCUGCACAAGCUCUCUCUCUGCCUUUUGCCAUCCAUGUAAGACGUGACUUGGUCCUCCUUGCCUUCUACCAUGAUUAUGAGGCCUCCCCAGCCACGUGGAACUGUGAGUCCAUUAAACCUCUUUCUUUUGUAAAU